CAGCCGCCGCGGUAAAACCAGCACCUCAAGUGGUCAGGAUGAUUAUUGGGCCUAAAGCAUCCGUAGCCGGCUCUGUAAGUUUUCGGUUAAAUCUGUACGCUUAACGUACAGGCUGCCGGGAAUACUGCAAAGCUAGGGAGUGGGAGAAGUGGACGGUACUCGGUAGGAAGUGGUAAAAUGCUUUGAUCUAUCGAUGACCACCUGUGGCGAAGGCGGUCUACGAGAACACGUCCGACGGUGAGGGGUGAAAGCUGGGGGAGCAAACCGGAUUAGAUACCCGGGUAGUCCCAGCUGUAAACUAUGCAAACUCAGCGAUGCAUUGGCUUGUGGCCAAUGCAGUGCUGCAGGGAAGCCGUUAAGUUUGCCGCCUGGGAAGUACGUACGCAAGUAUGAAACUUAAAGGAAUUGGCGGGGGAGCAC
rnacentral:rRNA from 1 species